rnacentral:rRNA from 1 species
AUGCACGCUGGCGGCGUGCCUCAUCCCUGCCAUUCGAGCGAACGGACGAGAAGCUUGCUUCUCUGAUGUUAGCGGCGGACGGGUGAGUAACACGUGGAUAACCUACCUAUAAGACUGGGAUAACUUCGGGAAACCGGAGCUAAUACCGGAUGAUAUUUUGAACCGCAUGGUUCAAAAGUGAAAGACGGUCUUGCUGUCACUUAUAGAUGGAUCCGCGCUGCAUUAGCUAGUUGGUAAGGUAACGGCUUACCAAGGCAACGAUGCAUAGCCGACCUGAGAGGGUGAUCGGCCACACUGGAACUGAGACACGGUCCAGACUCCUACGGGAGGCAGCAGUAGGGAAUCUUCCGCAAUGGGCGAAAGCCUGACGGAGCAACGCCGCGUGAGUGAUGAAGGUCUUCGGAUCGUAAAACUCUGUUAUUAGGGAAGAACAUAUGUGUAAGUAACUGUGCACAUCUUGACGGUACCUAAUCAGAAAGCCACGGCUAACUACGUG